UAAAGUGGCGGCGUGCUUAAACAUGCAAGUCGAGCGAGAAAGUUCUCUUCGGAGAAUGAGUAGAGCGGCGCACGGGUGAGUAACGCGUGGGUAAUCUACCCUGAAGAUCGGGAUAACAGUUGGAAACGACUGCUAAUACCGGAUAUCCUGCAUAUUUAACUUUAUGUGGAAAAGAUGGCCUCUGUUUCAAGCUAUUGCUUCAGGAUGAGCCCGCGUCUCAUUAGAUAGUUGGUGGGGUAAUGGCCUACCAAGUCAACGAUGAGUAGCUGGUCUGAGAGGAUGAUCAGCCACACUGGGACUGAAACACGGCCCAGACUCCUACGGGAGGCAGCAGUGGGGAAUAUUGCGCAAUGGGGGAAACCCUGACGCAGCGACGCCGCGUGCGGGAAGAAGGCUUUCGGGUCGUAAACCGCUGUCAGGAGGGAAGAAACUGUUUAGUCAUAAUACGGCUAUUCACUGACGGUACCUCCAGAGGAAGCACCGGCUAACUCCGUGCCAGCAGCCGCGGUAAUACGGAGGGUGCGAGCGUUAAUCGGAAUCACUGGGCGUAAAGCGUGCGUAGGCGGCGCGGUAAGUCAGACGUGAAAGCCCUCGGCUCAACCGAGGAAUUGCGUUUGAAACUGCUGUGCUUGAGUCUCGGAGAGGUUGGCGGAAUUCCAGGUGUAGGAGUGAAAUCCGUAGAUAUCUGGAGGAACACCGGUGGCGAAGGCGGCCAACUGGACGAGUACUGACGCUGAGGUACGAAAGCGUGGGGAGCAAACAGGAUUAGAUACCCUGGUAGUCCACGCCGUAAACGAUGGAUAUUAGGUGUCGGGGGUAACCCUUCGGUGCCGCAGUUAACGCGUUAAAUAUCCCGCCUGGGGAGUACGGUCGCAAGGCUGAAACUCAAAUGAAUUUGACGG
rnacentral:rRNA from 1 species